rnacentral:rRNA from 1 species
GUGGGGAAUAUUGGACAAUGGGCGAAAGCCUGAUCCAGCCAUGCCGCGUGUGUGAAGAAGGUCUUCGGAUUGUAAAGCACUUUAAGUUGGGAGGAAGGGCAGUAAGUUAAUACCUUGCUGUUUUGACGUUACCGACAGAAUAAGCACCGGCUAACUCUGUGCCAGCAGCCGCGGUAAUACAGAGGGUGCAAGCGUUAAUCGGAAUUACUGGGCGUAAAGCGCGCGUAGGUGGUUCGUUAAGUUGGAUGUGAAAGCCCCGGGCUCAACCUGGGAACUGCAUCCGAAACUGGCGAGCUAGAGUACGGUAGAGGGUGGUGGAAUUUCCUGUGUAGCGGUGAAAUGCGUAGAUAUAGGAAGGAACACCAGUGGCGAAGGCGACCACCUGGACUGAUACUGACACUGAGGUGCGAAAGCGUGGGGAGCAAACAGGAUUAGAAACCCUGGUAGUCC